GCAUGUUUUGAUUUGAGACUCGAUCCUCACAUGGUCUUUUCUCAGUGUACGACAUGCAAAAUCAACGUGACUCCGAACCAUUGGCUGGUCCCAUCAGUGGGCUUGAUCACUGAAGAGAGUCGUACAUUC
ensembl:snoRNA